AACGUCGAGGGGCGAGCGGGGAGUGAACGGCUUCGCUUCCAGUCCGCCCGGCGACCGGCGGCACGGGUGAGUAACACGUAUGCAACCUGCCCCUCGGCUGGGGGAGUAAGCCGGACGAAAUCCGGUCUAAAUACCGCGUAACAUCCUUGCGGGACAUCCCGUUAGGAUCAAAGGAAGCGAUCCGGCCAGGGAUGGGCAUGCGGCGCAUUAGCUAGUCGGCGGGGUAACGGCCCACCGAGGCGACGAUGCGUAGGGGUUCUGAGAGGAAGGUCCCCCACACUGGUACUGAGACACGGACCAGACUCCUACGGGAGGCAGCAGUGAGGAAUAUUGGCCAAUGGGCGCGAGCCUGAACCAGCCAAGUCGCGUGAGGGAAGACGGUCCUAUGGAUUGUAAACCUCUUUUGCCGGGGAGCAAGCUGUGCCACGUGUGGCGCAGCUGAGAGUACCCGGAGAAAAAAGCAUCGGCUAACUCCGUG
rnacentral:rRNA from 1 species